GGGUUGUGAGGUUAAGCGACUAAGCGUACACGGUGGAUGCCCUGGCAGUCAGAGGCGAUGAAGGACGUGCUAAUCUGCGAUAAGCGUCGGUGAGGUGAUAUGAACCGUUAUAACCGGCGAUUUCCGAAUGGGGAAACCCAGUGUGUUUCGACACACUAUCAUUAACUGAAUCCAUAGGUUAAUGAGGCGAACCGGGGGAACUGAAACAUCUAAGUACCCCGAGGAAAAGAAAUCAACCGAGAUUCCCCCAGUAGCGGCGAGCGAACGGGGAGGAGCCCAGAGCCUGAAUCAGUGUGUGUGUUAGUGGAAGCGUCUGGAAAGGCGUGCGAUACAGGGUGACAGCCCCGUACACAAAAAUGCACAUAUUGUGAGCUCGAUGAGUAGGGCGGGACACGUGGUAUCCUGUCUGAAUAUGGGGGGACCAUCCUCCAAGGCUAAAUACUCCUGACUGACCGAUAGUGAACCAGUACCGUGAGGGAAAGGCGAAAAGAACCCCGGCGAGGGGAGUGAAAAAGAACCUGAAACCGUGUACGUACAAGCAGUGGGAGCCUCUUAAUGGGGUGACUGCGUACCUUUUGUAUAAUGGGUCAGCGACUUAUAUUCUGUAGCAAGGUUAACCGAAUAGGGGAGCCGAAGGGAAACCGAGUCUUAACUGGGCGUUAAGUUGCAGGGUAUAGACCCGAAACCCGGUGAUCUAGCCAUGGGCAGGUUGAAGGUUGGGUAACACUAACUGGAGGACCGAACCGACUAAUGUUGAAAAAUUAGCGGAUGACUUGUGGCUGGGGGUGAAAGGCCAAUCAAACCGGGAGAUAGCUGGUUCUCCCCGAAAGCUAUUUAGGUAGCGCCUCGUGAAUUCAUCUCCGGGGGUAGAGCACUGUUUCGGCAAGGGGGUCAUCCCGACUUACCAACCCGAUGCAAACUGCGAAUACCGGAGAAUGUUAUCACGGGAGACACACGGCGGGUGCUAACGUCCGUCGUGAAGAGGGAAACAACCCAGACCGCCAGCUAAGGUCCCAAAGUCAUGGUUAAGUGGGAAACGAUGUGGGAAGGCCCAGACAGCCAGGAUGUUGGCUUAGAAGCAGCCAUCAUUUAAAGAAAGCGUAAUAGCUCACUGGUCGAGUCGGCCUGCGCGGAAGAUGUAACGGGGCUAAACCAUGCACCGAAGCUGCGGCAGCGACACUAUGUGUUGUUGGGUAGGGGAGCGUUCUGUAAGCCUGUGAAGGUGGCCUGUGAGGGUUGCUGGAGGUAUCAGAAGUGCGAAUGCUGACAUAAGUAACGAUAAAGCGGGUGAAAAGCCCGCUCGCCGGAAGACCAAGGGUUCCUGUCCAACGUUAAUCGGGGCAGGGUGAGUCGACCCCUAAGGCGAGGCCGAAAGGCGUAGUCGAUGGGAAACAGGUUAAUAUUCCUGUACUUGGUGUUACUGCGAAGGGGGGACGGAGAAGGCUAUGUUGGCCGGGCGACGGUUGUCCCGGUUUAAGCGUGUAGGCUGGUUUUCCAGGCAAAUCCGGAAAACCAAGGCUGAGGCGUGAUGACGAGGCACUACGGUGCUGAAGCGACAAAUGCCCUGCUUCCAGGAAAAGCCUCUAAGCAUCAGGUAACAUCAAAUCGUACCCCAAACCGACACAGGUGGUCAGGUAGAGAAUACCAAGGCGCUUGAGAGAACUCGGGUGAAGGAACUAGGCAAAAUGGUGCCGUAACUUCGGGAGAAGGCAUGCUGAUAUGUAGGUGAAGCGACUUGCUCGUGGAGCUGAAAUCAGUCGAAGAUACCAGCUGGCUGCAACUGUUUAUUAAAAACACAGCACUGUGCAAACACGAAAGUGGACGUAUACGGUGUGACGCCUGCCCGGUGCCGGAAGGUUAAUUGAUGGGGUUAGCGGUAACGCGAAGCUCUUGAUCGAAGCCCCGGUAAACGGCGGCCGUAACUAUAACGGUCCUAAGGUAGCGAAAUUCCUUGUCGGGUAAGUUCCGACCUGCACGAAUGGCGUAAUGAUGGCCAGGCUGUCUCCACCCGAGACUCAGUGAAAUUGAACUCGCUGUGAAGAUGCAGUGUACCCGCGGCAAGACGGAAAGACCCCGUGAACCUUUACUAUAGCUUGACACUGAACAUUGAGCCUUGAUGUGUAGGAUAGGUGGGAGGCUUUGAAGUGUGGACGCCAGUCUGCAUGGAGCCGACCUUGAAAUACCACCCUUUAAUGUUUGAUGUUCUAACGUUGGCCCGUAAUCCGGGUUGCGGACAGUGUCUGGUGGGUAGUUUGACUGGGGCGGUCUCCUCCUAAAGAGUAACGGAGGAGCACGAAGGUUGGCUAAUCCUGGUCGGACAUCAGGAGGUUAGUGCAAUGGCAUAAGCCAGCUUGACUGCGAGCGUGACGGCGCGAGCAGGUGCGAAAGCAGGUCAUAGUGAUCCGGUGGUUCUGAAUGGAAGGGCCAUCGCUCAACGGAUAAAAGGUACUCCGGGGAUAACAGGCUGAUACCGCCCAAGAGUUCAUAUCGACGGCGGUGUUUGGCACCUCGAUGUCGGCUCAUCACAUCCUGGGGCUGAAGUAGGUCCCAAGGGUAUGGCUGUUCGCCAUUUAAAGUGGUACGCGAGCUGGGUUUAGAACGUCGUGAGACAGUUCGGUCCCUAUCUGCCGUGGGCGCUGGAGAACUGAGGGGGGCUGCUCCUAGUACGAGAGGACCGGAGUGGACGCAUCACUGGUGUUCGGGUUGUCAUGCCAAUGGCACUGCCCGGUAGCUAAAUGCGGAAGAGAUAAGUGCUGAAAGCAUCUAAGCACGAAACUGUCUCCC
rnacentral:rRNA from 1 species